AUUGAACGCUAGCUGCAUGCUUUACACAUGCAAGUCGAACGGUAACAGGGUGCUUGCACCGCUGACGAGUGGCGAACGGGUGAGUAAUGCGUCGGAACGUGCCGAGUAGUGGGGGAUAACGCAUCGAAGGGUGUGCUAAUACCGCAUACGUACUGAGGUAGAAAGUGGGGGACCUUCGGGCCUCACGCUAUUCGAGCGGCCGACGUCUGAUUAGCUAGUUGGUGAGGUAAAGGCUCACCAAGGCGACGAUCAGUAGCGGGUCUGAGAGGAUGAGAUGCCACAAUGGGUCAGGGCCGAGGCCCAGACUCCUACGGGAGGCAGCAGUGGGGAAUUUUGGACAAUGGGCGCAAGCCUGAUGCAGCCAUGCCGCGUGUCUGAAGCAGGCCUUCGGGUUGUAAAGGACUUUUGUCCGGGAGCAAAUACCCAGUGCUAAUAACGCUGGGGGCUGAGAGUACCGGAAGAAUAAGCACCGGCUAACUACGUGCCAGCCGCCGCCGUAACAC
rnacentral:rRNA from 1 species